AGGUGUGGGGGUCAUUUGGCUAUGACAUCUACCACACAUAAAUCAGUGGAUAGUUGGGAAUCCUUUUCACUAUUCAAUCCUCUCUCACUAUUUCAGAUACAUUGCUGCCAAAGCUGUGUGCCUCCUGUAGAGGAUGAAUGUUCUUUGGUUAGGGGUAUAUGAGUGGCAGUGUUUCCCUGCUAGAACCUCCAAACAAGGUCUCAGAACACAUUGUAAAUGCCAGGUAGGCAUGGCAGCCCCCUCUGGAAUUCUAGAG
ensembl:misc_RNA 7SK 7SK RNA